CAACCCUCAAGCCUUCUUGGUGUUGGGGUGCUACGGGGGUAACCUGUAGGCCCUUAAGAUUAGUGGCGGGCUCGUUGAAACCCCGAGCGUAGUAGUUUGUCUCCCUCGUUCAGGGCGUUUCGGCGGGUUCCCAGCCGUUAAACCUUAUAAAUUUUCAA
rnacentral:misc_RNA from 1 species